UUCCUUACCUGGUAGGGGAGAUACCAGGAUCACCAAGGUCUUUUUUCCCAGGGGGAGGCUCACCCCAUUGUAAUCCUGGAGUGCUAACCCCUGCGAUUUCCACAAAUGCAGGAAACUCGACUGCAUAAUUUGUGGUAGUGGGAGACUGCAUUUGUGCUUUCCCCUA
rnacentral:snRNA from 1 species